AGCGAACGCUGGCGGCAGGCCUAACACAUGCAAGUCGAACGGACCCUUCGGGGUUAGUGGCGGACGGGUGAGUAACACGUGGGAACGUGCCUUUAGGUUCGGAAUAGCUCCUGGAAACGGGUGGUAAUGCCGAAUGUGCCCUUCGGGGGAAAGAUUUAUCGCCUUUAGAGCGGCCCGCGUCUGAUUAGCUAGUUGGUGAGGUAAAGGCUCACCAAGGCGACGAUCAAUAGCUGGUCUGAGAGGAUGACCAGCCACAUUGGGACUGAGACACAGCCCAAACUCCUACGGGAGGCAGCAGUGGGGAAUCCUGCGCAAUGGGCGAAAGCCUGACGCAGCCAUGCCGCGUGAAUGAUGAAGGUCUUAGGAUUGUAAAAUUCUUUCACCGGGGACGAUAAUGACGGUACCCGGAGAAGAAGCCCCGGCUAACUUCGUGCCAGCCGCCGCAGUAACAC
rnacentral:rRNA from 1 species